UGGGGAAUAUUGGACAAUGGGGGCAACCCUGAUCCAGCCAUGCCGCGUGAGUGAUGAAGGCCUUCGGGUUGUAAAGCUCUUUUGGCGGGGACGAUGAUGACGGUACCCGCAGAAUAAGCCCCGGCUAACUUCGUGCCAGCAGCCGCGGUAAGACGAAGGGGGCUAGCGUUGUUCGGAAUUACUGGGCGUAAAGCGAGUGUAGGCGGUUGCCGUAGUCAGGUGUGAAAGCCUUGAGCUCAACUCAAGAAAUGCACUUGAUACUGGGUGACUAGAGGACCGGAGAGGAUAGUGGAAUUCCCAGUGUAGUGGUGAAAUACGUAGAGAUUGGGAAGAACACCAGUGGCGAAGGCGGCUAUCUGGACGGUUACUGACGCUAAGACUCGAAAGCGUGGGGAGCAAACAGGAUUAGAUACCCUGGUAGUCCACGCCGUAAAACGAUGGGUGCUAGACGGUUGGCGAGCUUGCUCGUCAGUGUCGCAGCUAAACGCGUUAA
rnacentral:rRNA from 1 species